UACCUGCAGGUCGAGUGGUGGCCGCUAUUAUUGGGCCUAAAACGUCCGUAGCCGGUUUAUCAAAUGCCUGGGUAAAUCGGGCCGCUUAACGGUUCGAAUUCCGGGUAGACUGAUAAACUUGAGACCGGGGGAAGUUGGAGGUACUCCUGGGGUAGGGGUGAAAUCCUGUAAUCCUAGGGGGACCACCGGUGGCGAAGGCGUCCAACUAGAACGGGUCUGACGGUGAGGGACGAAGCCCUGGGGAGCAAACGGG
rnacentral:rRNA from 1 species